GGGCCCGCACAAGCGGUGGAGUAUGUGGUUUAAUUCGAUGCAACGCGAAGAACCUUACCAGGGCUUGACAUCCUGCGAAUCUCUGGGAAACCGGAGAGUGCCUUCGGGAACGCAGUGACAGGUGGUGCAUGGCUGUCGUCAGCUCGUGUCGUGAGAUGUUGGGUUAAGUCCCGCAACGAGCGCAACCCACGUCUUUAGUUGCCAGCAUUUAGUUGGGCACUCUAGAGAGACCGCCGGUGACAAACCGGAGGAAGGUGUGGAUGACGUCAAGUCAUCAUGCCCCUUACGUCCUGGGCUACACACGUACUACAAUGCUACGGACAAAGAGCAGCAAGUUCGCGAGGACAAGCAAAUCUCAUAAACCGUGGCUCAGUUCAGAUCGUAGGCUGCAACUCGCCUACGUGAAGGAGGAAUCGCUAGUAAUCGC
rnacentral:rRNA from 1 species